GUUGAAUGUCCCAAAUUCUGAAUUGUUCUUAAUUAUGCUUCGCCAGACAGACAUUAGGGCCAUUUAUACGAGACAAAAUAAGACGCGACUUACAUAAGACGCGACUUAAAUAAGACGCGAGUUUGUCGUGUAAAAGGCACAAAAUUCUUAUGUAAGACGCGUCUUGGAUAGGACGCGACUUAAAUAAGAACAGGACUUUUAGCUGUUCUUAUGUAAGUCGCGUCUUAAAUAAGAAAUUUUGGACAAACAUUCUAACUACACAUGCCCGAAACUUGAAACAACGUACAAUUAUUAGCCUUGCAUAUUAAAACAAAAACAACCGUAACAACAUUAUAGCUAUAGCAAGAAAAUAAGAAUAAAGCCGUAGAUAACCAUUUAUGCGAUAACUCCGCUUAUU